rnacentral:rRNA from 1 species
UACAGAGGGGGCAAGCGUUGUUCGGAAUUACUGGGCGUAAAGGGCGCGUAGGCGGCCUGCUAAGUCGAACGUGAAAUCCCUGGGCUCAACCCAGGAACUGCGUCCGAUACUGGUUGGCUUGAAUCCGGGAGAGGGAUGUGGAAUUCCAGGUGUAGCGGUGAAAUGCGUAGAGAUCGGGAAGAACAUCAGUGGCGAAGGCGGCCUGCUGGGCUGUUGCUGACGCUGAGGCGCGACAGCGUGGGGAGCAAACAGG